CUAUAUACAUUACCCUAUUUCGUACUUCACUAACCUCAGAAUACCUCUCUUUCCCUCUUCAUGGAGUUCGUCUACAGCAUUGCAGACAACGUUUUGGAUAGGCUAGCUUCACAUGCUUCCCAAGAGAUCUCCUUGGCAUGGGGUGCCCAACUUGAACUCACCAAGCUCAACAAGACCCUAUCUAGCUACCAUCAAACUAGUACUCGAAGAUGCAGAGAAGAAGCAAGUGAGGAAUUCCCUAAUCACUCGUUGGUUGGGAAAUCUCAAACAUGUUUGCCAUGACAUUGAUGAUGUCUUGGACGAACUGGAGUUCCAAAAGUUGCGGUUGAAAGUGGAGGUCGACAACUGCGGGAAGAUCAAAGGAAAGUAUCCCUGCUGGGUUUGGAAUCGGGUCAGAGGAAGAAGAAGGUCGCUAGCUAAAAGUUGUACGCUGUGGAGAGAAAGCUGAAAGGGACUCCCAGGAAGAGCUUCAGGUGGCUCAAGGAGACCUGUGAUAGAGUGGUCUAUGGCCGGCUUUGGCAUAGUAUGUGGAGUGCGCAUACUAUGAAGAAGAUGAAGCUGACAAUCGCUUGGCCGAUGGUAGGAUCGUGUACCUCACAACGCGCCACCCGCGAUGACGCCGUUAGUCACCUCAAUUCCUCGUCUCCAGUAUCCCUGUGGAGGAAGAAGAGGGUUGCUAGCUACAAGGUGUACACUGUGGAGGGGAAGCUGAAAGGGACUCACAGGAAGAGCUUCAGGUGGCUCAAGGAGACUUGUGGUCUAUGGCCGCUUGCAUUGGGUGAGUUUUUUGGGGUACAGCAGCUGAUUGCAUUGUAACUGCUGAGUUUUCAAAAGCAUUGGAGUUGAAUUAGGAUUUACCUGAUUUCAGGAAAGAGAUCCAUCUACUGAUUUCAGGGAUGCUGGAUUUAUUUCUUUGGAGAACCUCUUGCUCUUCGCAAUUACAUUUUCGGUAAAAUCCCAAACUUGAUCUGCAAAUAGCAGGAUAAAAACCUGAAGAAGCAAUGCCUAUUGAACAAGCAAGGAGAUUGUGCAAACAUAAUAAAAGCACGAGAUUUAUAAAAUAGCAUCAGAGCCAUUGGAUAGAGGUAUAAGGAGAUGAUGAGCGUUGAAUUAUGUCACAGGCUGAACUCCGAAGCGGCCGGUGCCCCUUGCUUGAAUCGGAUGGGCAUGGAACCUCACCCAUGUGAGGAGUGAUCAAUAUUGAAACUAAAUGCAGAAUGGAAUAGCCCUUGCUGGCUAGCUAUGUAUGAAGACUUGUAUUUCUCUGCUCACAGAAGGCUCUGGAUCAAUCUCCAUACGAUCAAGACAAAUGCCUUCGCCUCAUGAAUUCAUCGCACAAAUGCGUCCUCAACAAAUUUUUGUUCUCUGUGAAUUAGUGGCUUGAUAUGUUCCUCUGAGAAACCCAGUAAUUUCAUCCAACUAGUGACUCAGAAUUGGAUAUGUUCUUGGGUUAUGAGUUUGGAUUUUAGAUAUAUUUGAGUUGGUUGAUUGCACAAAUGCUAAGGCUGAAACCCAGAUUGAAAUUUUCUCAAGGCCAGCUUUAUAUGCUUAUUUUUCUUAGAAGUUUGAAGCUUGAUUUAGGUUCAUCAAGUUAAUAAGACAUAUGCCUAUUACUGUUCUGGUAAA